AUUGAACGCUGGCGGCAUGCUUUACACAUGCAAGUCGAACGGCAGCGCGGGCUUCGGCCUGGCGGCGAGUGGCGAACGGGUGAGUAAUGCAUCGGAACGUGCCCAGUAGUGGGGGAUAGCCCGGCGAAAGCCGGAUUAAUACCGCAUACGACCUGAGGGUGAAAGCGGGGGACCGAAAGGCCUCGCGCUAUUGGAGCGGCCGAUGUCGGAUUAGCUAGUUGGUGGGGUAAAGGCUUACCAAGGCGACGAUCCGUAGCUGGUCUGAGAGGACGACCAGCCACACUGGGACUGAGACACGGCCCAGACUCCUACGGGAGGCAGCAGUGGGGAAUUUUGGACAAUGGGGGCAACCCUGAUCCAGCCAUGCCGCGUGCGGGAAGAAGGCCUUCGGGUUGUAAACCGCUUUUGUUCGGGAAGAAAUCCUCUGGGCUAAUACCCCGGGGGGAUGACGGUACCGGAAGAAUAAGCACCGGCUAACUCCGUG
rnacentral:rRNA from 1 species